AUCCAGAUUACGAGUCCCGAAUAGGACGAAAUGUGCAUCCUGGAU
rnacentral:hammerhead_ribozyme from 1 species